UAUAAAAACCCAUCACUGCUUUUGCAAUGUAUCCAUAGUGUAUUUCCUCGCAUCUACCAUCCAGUUUCUACGCCUCUCCCUCUCUCUCUCUCUCUCUCUCCAUCAAAUCAUAUUUUGUUCAAACUCUCUCUCAUCAAUUCUCUCCAUACAACACAUGCAUACACACAUACAUACAUGCCAUCAUCAUCUUUUCUCAUCUCUAGUUUUUCAUCAAUUUUGUUCCAAAACUCUGUAUCUCUCCAUAUGCAUACAUACGAAUUAUUAUUGUCAUAGAUCCAUAUAAAAUUGCUUGAACUAUUAGAUGAGAUCUAGGGUUUCUUUCUUUUCUUUCAAAUUUUGCAGCAUAUUCUUCAAAAUCAUGCUUUCUCGCUUGCUAUGUUCUAGAUCCAUGCAAAUAUAGGGUAUAUGUACAUCCACACACGCUCGAACACUAGUACAUGUAGUUUACAAUAAUACUCUCUACUUAUUUUGAAUUGAUAUUAUAGGGAUAUAUUAAUGGAGAGAGCUUCCUUGAGUCCAUUCACAGGUCGUGAUAUGAUCCAAUUAGCUUCCGACUCAUUCAUCCAAAUACCGAGUCACCUAAAUUCGAACUAGACUCGUUAAAUGAAUGAAUGAUGCGGUAGACAAAUUAGAUCAUUGAUUCUCUUUGAUUGGACUGAAGGGAGCUCCCUUUCUUCUUGGUAUUCCAAUUUUCUUGAUUAUUAUUUCUUGCGUUUAAACAUGCUAGAUCUGUAUACAUAUAGUCAUAGUUUAUAUAUAUAUAUAUAAUAUAUAUAUAUAUAUAUAUGUAGGCUUCGUAUAUUUAUUUCUAGUAAAAUUAACUUCGUGUUUCUCUAUGUUUCAGGCAGGAAUAGGUGAAGAAGAUUAUGACCAAUUCUGGGUAUAUUCAAACCUGUACCCAAACCUACGUCGUUUCGCCGAAGGAACGGCAGAUUGUGGAGAUAGUCCCCCACUAGUUGCUGCAGGAACUGACUAAACGAAAGGGAGAUGAACAUCUAGGCAUACAGAGAUUCGAUUGAACAUUGGAGAGAGGAUCGUGAAUGUUAACGUAUUGACGAUUUAAUGGGAAGUGAUCAUUAUAUGAAUUAAAUCAUAAAAGUCUAAGCAGAUUUAAGACUCGGACUGCUAUUGGUUGAGAUCUGGUUGGUUAGAAGCCUGAUAACUGAUAAGUCACAUAAGUGUAACCAAAUGUAUAGAUUGGUGUAAUAGUUCUGUCAAAAGAUUUAUUUUAUUCAUUGUGAAAACUAAGAAUGUCAAUGUCAUUAUUAAGAAUCAAUUUAAGAAAAAGCUUUCUCGUGGAU